rnacentral:rRNA from 1 species
AUUGGACGCUGGCGGAAUGCUUUACACAUGCAAGUCGAACGGCAGCACGGGCUUCGGUCUGGUGGCGAGUGGCGAACGGGUGAGUAAUGUAUCGGAACGUGCCCAGUCGUGGGGGAUAACGUAGUGAAAAUUACGCUAAUACCGCAUACGAUCUAUGGAUGAAAGCGGGGGAUCGCAAGACCUCGCGCGAUUGGAGCGGCCGAUAUCAGAUUAGGUAGUCGGUGGGGUAAAGGCCCACCAAGCCCACGAUCUGUAGCUGGUCUGAGAGGACGCCCAGCCACACUGGAACUGAGACACGGUCCAGACUCCUACGGGAGGCAGCAGUGGGGAAUUUUGGACAAUGGGCGAAAGCCUGAUCCAGCCAUUCCGCGUGCAGGAUGAAGGCCCUCGGGUUGUAAACUGCUUUUGUACAGAACGAAAAGGUUUCUACUAAUACUAGGAGCUCAUGACGGUACUGUAAGAAUAAGCACCGGCUAACUACGUGCCAGCCGCCGCCGUAA